GAUGAACGCUAGCGGGAGGCCUAACACAUGCCAGCCGAGCGGGAUGUGUUGGUUAUCUUGCUACCUAACAAUGAGAGCGGCGUACGGGUGCGUAGCACGUGUGCAACCUGCCUUUAUCUGGGGGAUAGCCUUUCGAAAGGAAGAUUAAUACCCCAUAACAUAUUGAUUGGCAUCAGUUGAUAUUGAAAGCUCCGGCGGAUCGAGAUGGGCACGCGUAAGCUUAGCUAGUUGGUGAUGUAACGGCUCAGCAACGCUGCGAUCUUUAGUGGGCCUGAGAGGGGGCCCCCCCACACUGGGACCGCGACACAGACCAGACUGCUACGGGACGCAGCAGUGACGAACAUUGUACACUGGGGGAGGGCCUGAUCCAGCCAUCCCGCGUGAAGGACUAAGGACCUAGGGUUUGUAUACUUCUUUUAAACAGGGAUAAUCCUACUCUCGUGAGGGUAGCUGAAGGUACUGUAUGAAUAAGCACCGGCUAACUCCGUG
rnacentral:rRNA from 1 species